UCUUAUGGAUGAGCAAAGAAAGUGGUUUCCUGAGAGGAAUCUACUCCUGGUGAAAAUGCCAUGAA
rnacentral:pre_miRNA from 1 species